GACGGAAGGUGCAAGCGUUGCUCGGAAUCACUGGGCGUAAAGGGUGCGUAGGCGGCUUGGUAGGUCUGGUGUGAAAGCCCCGGGCUCAGCCCGGGAAGGGCACUAGAAACUGCCAAGCUAGAGUGCCGGAGGGGAGAGUGGAAUUCCUGGUGUAGCGGUGAAAUGCGUAGAGAUCAGGAGGAACACCAGUGGCGAAGGCGGCUCACUGGACUGGUAUUGACGCUGAGGUGCGAAAGCGUGGGGAGCAAACAGG
rnacentral:rRNA from 1 species